UACAGAGGUCUCAAGCGUUGUUCGGAUUCAUUGGGCGUAAAGGGUGUGUAGGUGGCGCCGUAAGUCGGGUGUGAAAUUUCGGAGCUUAACUCCGAAACUGCAUUCGAUACUGCGGUGCUUGAGGACUGGAGAGGAGACUGGAAUUCAUGGUGUAGCAGUGAAAUGCGUAGAGAUCAGGAGGAACACCGGUGGCGAAGGCGGGUCUCUGGGCCGAUACUGACGCUGAGGAGCGAAAGCGUGGGGAGCAAACAGG
rnacentral:rRNA from 1 species